rnacentral:misc_RNA from 1 species
CGAUUCACCGAUUCCCAGAAUGCUGGGCGGAGUGGGAGCUCGUCGCAGAAGGGGCUCAUCUCCUAUGGCGCGAUUGACCAUUAGCAACAUCAACGGCCUGGAUGACAAUAUUGCCAUCAUCGGCGAUGGCGUCAUCCGGCGGAGCACGCACUACGGCUCGCAAGGGUCCAGCAAAAGGCGCCGGGCUCCGGAAAGCUUCGCUCUUGUCCAGACGCGACCCAAUCUAGGCGACCUAAUGUUGGAAGCGGCUCAGGAAGUAGUGCAAGCAGAGCAUCAACAGGACUCCUUAGGCGGGGGGCACUUGGGUCGAAAGGGAGCCCAUCGCUUAGCUGAUAGAAUGGGUGGCCCGAAAAAAGAGGAAAACCCACCAGGUGGUGGUCCGACGUCAUUGUUUAUUCUAACCGAGGAUAACCCAAUUAGAAAGUACACACGAUUCAUCAUAGAAUGGCCGCCCUUUGAAUACGCUGUGUUAUUGACAAUCAUAGCCAACUGUGUUGUGUUGGCACUAGAGGAGCACUUGCCAGGGGGCGACAAGACAGUAUUGGCUCAAAAAUUGGAAAAAACGGAGGCCUAUUUUUUAUGCAUUUUCUGUGUAGAAGCGUCGCUCAAGAUCCUCGCCUUAGGGCUUGUUCUGCAUAAACACUCCUAUCUCAGGAAUAUUUGGAACAUCAUGGAUUUUUUCGUUGUAGUUACGGGAUUCAUGACACAGUACCCACAAAUAGGGCCCGAGGUAGACCUAAGAACACUUAGAGCCAUUCGUGUGCUACGGCCCUUAAAAUUAGUGUCUGGAAUUCCUAGUUUACAAGUAGUUUUAAAAUCUAUAAUCAAGGCGAUGGCACCUUUACUGCAAAUCGGUCUCUUGGUGUUGUUUGCAAUCGUAAUUUUUGCAAUCAUUGGACUCGAGUUUUAUUCGGGCGCACUGCAUAAGACUUGUUAUAGCUUAGAAGAUCCAAACAAACUAGUGAAGGAGGGCGAAUCAGAGACGCCUUGCAACACGGACAACAUCCUGGAAAAGGCCACCGGCUCCUUCGUAUGCAACAACACCACGAGCAUGUGUCUGGAGAAGUGGGAGGGACCAAAUUCAGGUAUCACGAGUUUCGAUAAUAUCGGAUUUGCCAUGUUGACCGUAUUCCAAUGUAUCACGAUGGAGGGCUGGACGUCAAUACUGUAUUGGACCAACGACGCAUUAGGUUCAGCAUUUAAUUGGAUAUAUUUCGUGCCUCUUAUAGUUAUAGGCUCAUUUUUUAUGCUCAACUUAGUUCUUGGUGUCCUCAGUGGUGAAUUCGCAAAAGAACGAGAAAAAGUAGAAAAUAGACAAGAGUUUCUUAAACUUAGAAGGCAGCAGCAACUAGAAAGAGAGUUAAACGGCUAUGUUGAAUGGAUUUGUAAAGCUGAGGAGGUAAUCCUGGCCGAGGAGCGCACCACGGAAGAAGAGAAAAUGCACAUAAUGGAGGCUCGAAGACGAAACGCUGCCAAGCGGAAAAAGCUGAAAAGUUUGGGAAAAUCAAAGUCCACGGAUACGGAGGAAGAGGAAGCGGAGGAAGAUUACGGAGACGAUGGUUACCUCAAAACGCGCUCGAAACCUCAAGGAAGUUGUACCGGAUUUUGGCGGGCGGAGAAAAGGUUUCGUUUCUGGAUCCGGCACACGGUGAAGACGCAGUGGUUCUACUGGUUCGUGAUCGUCCUCGUCUUUCUGAACACAGUCUGCGUUGCCGUCGAGCAUUACGGCCAGCCCUCGUUCCUCACGGAGUUUCUGUACUAUGCUGAAUUCAUCUUCCUGGGACUCUUCAUGUCGGAGAUGUUCAUCAAGAUGUACGCGUUGGGGCCCCGCAUCUACUUUGAGUCGUCGUUCAACCGAUUUGAUUGCGUUGUCAUUAGUGGUUCGAUAUUCGAAGUGAUCUGGUCCGAGGUGAAAGGCGGUUCGUUUGGUCUGUCUGUGCUGCGUGCCCUGCGAUUGCUGCGCAUCUUCAAAGUCACCAAGUACUGGUCGUCGCUGCGCAAUCUAGUCAUCUCCCUGUUGAACUCGAUGAGAUCGAUCAUCUCAUUGUUGUUCCUGCUCUUCUUGUUCAUCCUCAUAUUCGCCUUACUGGGCAUGCAGUUGUUUGGCGGCCAGUUCAAUCUGCCCGGAGGCACGCCCGAAACCAAUUUUAACACUUUCCCGAUAGCACUGUUGACUGUAUUCCAAAUCCUCACUGGCGAAGAUUGGAACGAGGUCAUGUACCAGGGCAUCAUAUCUCAGGGUGGUGCGCAGAAAGGAAUGAUUUACUCUAUAUACUUUAUCGUUUUGGUACUCUUCGGAAAUUACACGCUAUUGAAUGUGUUCUUGGCUAUCGCCGUUGAUAAUUUGGCGAAUGCCCAAGAACUUACAGCAGCCGAAGAGGAACAAGUCGAAGAGGAUAAAGAGAAACAACUGCAGGAGCUCGAGAAGGAGAUGGAGGCCCUCCAGGCGGAUGGAGUCCAUGUGGAGAACGGCGAUGGUGCUGUCGCCCCCAGCAAGUCCAAGGGCAAGAAGAAGGAGGAGGAGAAGAAAGAGGAGGAGGAAGUGACCGAGGGUCCCAAGCCGAUGCUGCCCUACUCAUCGAUGUUCAUACUAUCACCAACCAAUCCCAUACGACGCGGCGCCCAUUGGGUGGUUAAUUUGCCAUAUUUUGAUUUCUUCAUUAUGGUUGUCAUCUCAAUGUCAUCAAUAGCAUUAGCAGCCGAAGAUCCCGUUCGUGAGAACUCGAGGCGAAACAAGAUAUUGAAUUAUUUCGAUUAUGCAUUUACCGGCGUAUUCACGAUAGAAAUGUUGCUGAAAAUUGUAGACUUGGGUGUGAUCCUGCACCCUGGCAGCUAUUUAAGAGAAUUCUGGAAUAUUAUGGAUGCUGUGGUCGUUAUAUGCGCUGCUGUUAGUUUCGGUUUCGAUAUGAGCGGUAGCAGCGCUGGACAAAAUUUAUCGACUAUUAAAUCGCUUCGGGUAUUGCGUGUACUACGCCCAUUGAAGACCAUUAAGCGUGUACCGAAAUUGAAAGCCGUGUUCGAUUGCGUCGUGAACUCAUUGAAAAAUGUUGUUAACAUUCUAAUCGUGUACAUAUUGUUUCAAUUUAUAUUUUCUGUUAUUGGAGUACAAUUGUUCAAUGGAAAAUUUUUUUAUUGUACGGACGAAAGUAAACAUACUUCCGCAGAGUGCCAGGGCUCGUACUUCAAGUACGAGGAGGACGAACUGCUGCCAAGACAGGAACUACGGGUCUGGAAGCCGCGGGCCUUUCACUACGACAAUGUUGCCGCUGCGAUGUUGACCCUGUUCGCCGUUCAGACCGGCGAGGGAUGGCCACAGGUCUUGCAACACUCAAUGGCUGCCACUUAUGAAGAUAGGGGUCCAAUCCAAAAUUUCCGGAUCGAAAUGUCCAUAUUUUAUAUUGUGUAUUUUAUUGUGUUUCCGUUCUUCUUCGUCAACAUAUUCGUCGCCUUGAUUAUUAUUACGUUUCAAGAGCAAGGCGAAGCUGAGUUACAAGAUGGCGAAAUUGACAAAAAUCAGAAAUCCUGCAUCGAUUUUACUAUAGGAGCACGACCUCUCGAACGCUAUAUGCCCAAGAAUCGGAACACCUUCAAGUAUAAAGUGUGGCGAAUUGUGGUGUCAACGCCUUUUGAGUACUUCAUUAUGAUGUUGAUCGUAUUCAAUACCCUAUUGCUGAUGAUGAAGUAUCACAAUCAAGGAGACAUGUACGAAAAGUCGCUGAAGUACAUCAACAUGGGAUUCACCGGAAUGUUUAGUGUAGAAACGGUGCUGAAGAUCAUUGGAUUCGGUGUUAAGAACUUCUUCAAGGACCCGUGGAACAUAUUCGAUUUAAUCACCGUUUUGGGCAGUAUUGUGGAUGCACUUUGGAUGGAAUUCGGGCACGAUGAUUCGAACUCAAUCAACGUCGGCUUCCUGCGUUUAUUUCGAGCGGCGCGACUUAUCAAAUUACUUCGUCAAGGAUACACGAUUCGAAUUCUUCUGUGGACAUUUGUGCAAUCCUUUAAGGCACUUCCCUAUGUCUGUUUGCUUAUAGCAAUGCUAUUUUUCAUAUACGCCAUUAUCGGCAUGCAGGUGUUCGGGAAUAUCAAACUAGGUACGGUGGAAAAUUCCAUUACUAGACACAACAACUUCCAAUCAUUUAUUCAAGGCGUCAUGUUGCUAUUCAGGUGUGCAACUGGCGAGGCCUGGCCCAACAUAAUGCUGGCAUGUUUGAAGGGCAAGGCCUGCGACGAUGACGCCGAGAAGGCACCUGGGGAGUACUGCGGAUCCACACUGGCCUACGCCUACUUCGUAUCGUUUAUAUUCUUCUGCUCCUUCCUGAUGCUCAAUCUGUUCGUCGCCGUCAUCAUGGAUAAUUUCGAUUAUCUCACCAGGGACUCCAGCAUAUUGGGUGCCCAUCACUUAGACGAAUUUGUGCGCAUAUGGGCGGAAUAUGAUCCAAAUGCGACUGGAAAAAUACACUACACGGAAAUGUACGACAUGCUGAAGAACAUGGAUCCACCGUUGGGUUUUGGCAACAAGUGUCCCAAUCGACUGGCCUACAAGAAACUGAUUAGAAUGAAUAUGCCAUUGGACGAUGAAUUGAGAGUUCAGUUCACCACAACGUUAUUCGCUUUGAUUCGUGAGAAUCUCAGCAUCAAAAUGAGAGCGCCUGAGGAGAUGGACCAGGCGGACAUGGAACUGCGGGAGACCAUCACGAACAUCUGGCCAUUGCAGGCGAAGAAGAUGCUGAACCUGCUGGUGCCGCCCAGUGAUCAGCUCAACAAGGGCAAACUGUCAGUGGGUAAAAUCUAUGCAGGUUUCCUCAUCCUGGAGUCCUGGCGUAGCACGCGGUUCGGCCAACUCGAUUCGGGAAUGCCGCGGAAGAAGCUGGAGCACGACGAUGAGCAUAAAUAUAGCCCAACGGCAGUCGAGGAGCCGAAACAAUCAUUCUUUAACUGCCUACUCGAUAUGGCCGCCCUUGACAAAGGAGGAUCGCGACAGGGCUCCAUAAGUUUCGAGCCGAAUGGGGAAGGAGCCGCCAACUCACAAACACAUUUGUUAGCCAGCACGCACCACCACCACGCAAACGGUGAUGCCGAACACAACAGUUUGGCAACACUAGCACGGCGGAGUACGAUCAGAAAGCGAUCAGUUAGAAACAAAAAGGUGAAUAAGUUUGAUAAACUCCAAGCGAUGCUGGAGCUGCAGGACGCGUCGAGACAUCCCUCGCAGGAGUCGCUUACCGGUGCCGAUGCUGGCCAUUUACAUCCUGGACAUUCGUAUAUGAAUGGCCAUCGGCGAUCGCCUAGCUUGAGGCACAACGGCUCUCCACUGGCCAGAUCUCCGAGUCCUCGACGGCGUGGCCAUCAAUACAUACAUCAUGAUAUCGGGUUCUCCGAUACCGUAUCUAAUGUUGUAGAGAUGGUCAAGGAGACUCGUCAUCCUAGGCAUGGCAACAGUCAUCCGCGGUAUCCAAGAGGUUCAUGGUCAGCAUCGACAAGUCCGGCCCGUUCGCCUUCGCCUUCUCGAUAUGGUGGUCAUUUGUCUCGCAGUAAACGCACUCAACUGCCUUAUCCCACAUAUGGGACAACCAGUCUAUGUCAAAGAUCACGAUCGCCGAGUCCCGCUAGACUUCAGGAGAUGCGUGAACGAGACAGACUUGGUUAUGGGAUUGAUAUGGGUGUAACGCAUGUACAGCAUAGUUACCCAACACUGGCCUCCCGAAGAGCCGGAAUCGGAAGACGCCUUCCUCCGACUCCCAGCAAACCGUCAACACUGCAGCUCAAGCCAACCAAUAUCAAUUUCCCGAAGCUGAAUGCCAGUCCCACACAUACACACCACUCAACGCCCCACAGUGUUCACUCGCUACCACACCACCGCGACCUGCUGCGAGAUCCAAGGGAUAUGUACUAUAGUAGUAGAGAACGCGAGCGGGAUCGCGAACGCCUUAGGGAUCGGGAUCGUGAUAGGGAUCGCGAUCGUCUGCACGAGUACGACCUGCGGUACGAGUACCGGGAUCGGGAACGGGAGUUGUACGAGCGCGAAAGAGAUCGCGAGCGGGAGGUCGAAAGAGAAAGACUGGAAUAUAUAGCACCGCUGUCGUUUGAACAAGCGCUGGCUAUGGGCCGAACAGGUCGUGUACUGCCAUCUCCAGUUCUAAACGGUUUUAAGCCAAAGAGUGGUCUGAACCCUCGACACUCCGAUUCGGAUGAGGAGGAUUGGUGCUAGCAAAGGCUUUGAUUGCGAUCGCGUAAUCGAAAGGAUCAGAUCUGGGUAUAGCAUCAGGCCAUUUGCUCCUCUUUGUCAGCACCAAACUUAGAUCACAAUUUUGAUACGAUACGACACAGCUACCAGAUACCCGAACAUCUGCAAACCCUUCCAUACCUUUGUCCACCAGUACACCAACACCAACACCAAACCCAAAACCAACGACAACACCAAGAGCAGCACCUAUAUCAAAGCUUACAGGAAUUAAACCCGAAUCGACAACCGCAAUCGCAACAGAAGCAGGAGCAACAAUUGCAUCAGGAUGGGUGGCUUAGAUGGUACCGGCAAUCGGGUCCAUACGGAUCCCCAGUGAUGGCAUCAUUGCCGGAGACCAGAGCAACAUCGCCCCACUCCGAUAUCGAAUUCAUCAGAACUAUGAAGAGAAGUGAAACCGGAACAACUGCAAUAACACCAAGGACAACUAAAACUGAAGCAAUGAUAUUAAGCGUACCAAUUACAAUAACGUCCCCAUUAGCUAUUAAAAAGAUAUAUUCAGAUAAUGACAUUAAUUAUAAUACCGAACGAGCCACUGAUAAUGACAGAGUGGACGAAGCACCAGCUCAUCAUUAUCACCAGCCAGAACUAACUACACCAGAUCUACAACACGAGCCACCACUGCAGCAGCAUCACCAGCACUAUCCGCAGUAUUCGUAUCAUACGCUCUAAGGAGGAUAGGAUCAAGAACGAGCAUCCAUUAUGCAGACGCCACAAUCCAUAGUUCAUAGUCCAGAAACUAGUAGCCAGAGUCUAGAAACUAGAAACUAGAAACCAGAAACCAGAUCCACUAAAAGUGCAACUUUAAUUGAAACUCAAACUGAAACUGAAACGAGGUGUAAAGAAUGUGAGAGUGAUUCUAUUCCACGCAAUUGGAUUGGGAGUGGACGUGGGGAGAUUGUAAACAGAUUAGAGCUACUAUUUGCUUAGACAUAGGAGUAGACAAUUUAAUUUUAGAUAUGAAUAUGAUCAAGUGUAUUGUACUUUUUUUUAAUAUAAGGGCAAGUCUAGACGAAGAGCACAUCAAAAUGAAGCUAACGAUAACAGAACUCUUUCAAGCAGAACACACACAUAGAUCUAGGUCGAAAAUAUACAUAGGAAAUAAAGAUUGUAGGUACUCGCAUACAUUGUAAGUUAUCUAGGAUUUAGCUCGAGGAAUCGGUACGGUAAUCUGCAAGCGUUUUUGACUUGUUUGUAUUAAAAGUUAGUACUUCAAUUAUGUGUAUUUAAAUGCGACAUUUAUUUAUUUACUCAAUGUACAUACCAGAUAAUUGUAGAUAUGAAAUUGUUAUUUAUUUUCUUCUUUUGUAUGUAACAUAUUUACCUACGACUACUAUUAUAAAUACCUUCAUCGGAACGAAUCCCUAUAGCGAAUAUUAGCAACAAUUCAGCGCAAUUUAGUCCCCCACGGUUUUUUACAUUCAGUUGUGUAUUUAUACUCGAGCGGAUACUUUUUUUCCCACGAUUAGUAGAAGUCCACGCAACAUGGCAAGUCCAGCAUAUUGAAUCCAAAUCCAAGUCCAAAACUAGAUCCAAAUAACUCAAUUAUGACCAAAGCAUGUAUCUGUAAAGUAAGCAUCAUUCAGUGCCAUUUGUGUAUACAGACUCUAGCUAACUUACAAUAGCUUAUUUAUCAUACAUAUAUUUGCCUUAGCGAAUGAAACGUUGUUUUCAUAGUUACUCUGUAAUCUGUAAUCGAAGAGAGGUUUAUGCUUCUGUUAAUGCGUUUCGUAUGCUGAAAUAAGCUCCUCGCAAACUUUCCGAUCAGUUGAAAGAACUCGAUGUCCAUAUGUAUUUAUAAAUGACAAGCAAACAAGGCAUUAUUCUCACAAUCGAGCAUCCUCGACGUAAACAAAAACAUGUGUAGAUAUAAUAUAUACACCUCCGACUCCUCAUACUCGAAUUGAAUGUGUAUAAUGUGUAAAAAUGCAGAGCUCAUGGCACACCAAACGUAAUGUAUUCAAAUAUACUAUAGCCAUGCACACAGCCCCUCCAACCCACUACCAGAAAAUGCAGUCAUCAUGUGUAUAGAUAGACGAAUCGUACAUGUUGGACGACGGGAUAUCGAAGAGCGCACAAUAAUUGUAAUUUAAAGAAAAGAAUCCAUAACUUAAGUAAAUAAUUAUAGCAGCUGAGCAGUAAUGCGAAUUUACACAGCAAAUGAACUUACCAUUACGAAUAUGACGAUGACUAGCGUAGAGUGCAUACGGAAGUUAAAGGAAAAAACUAAAACAAAAACAUUUAGCAAACAGAAACACUUGCCCUAAACUAACUUAACUGAGCUGACUUUAGCUGUGUACGAUACUUAAAUAUUAACUGAGCAAUACUGAAUAGGGAAAACGACUAACCUAGAAACGAUUAACCCAAAUAUACACUCAAAAAAGGUCAAGAUCGCCAUUUAACUUAGAAACUCGCCAUUUUAUAAUGUCCUUUGGCUGUGAGCCGUAAGUUUUAAAAAUCUCCGAAAAUUUCCCAAGUUCCAAAACGCAUUUUUCAGUUACUAUUUUAUACUUAAUUUGGAGGUUUCGUUCGCUAUUAGUUUGUAAUAGCAAAAAUCAUUGUGUGAAUACGAUUUUGUACUUGUUGAUAUAAUUUUGAAAAAUAAUUGUUCGUAAACACUUCCUGCACGUUGUGAAGUUUUUGAAAACCUUGAAUUUUUGAUUUGAUGGCGAUUUUCUAAAAUCUAGACAAAGAGAAUGGAGUGGAGUGUGAGAAAGGUAACCGACAAGCGUAUUCUUCUAUAAUUAUCUUAAUUACGGAUGCUGACAAACAAAUACAUUGAAGAUAUAUAUACACGCCUACAUAGAUAAAUAUACAAUAGUUUAUAACUAGUAUCAAAUAAAAUGGGAACUCCAACGCUAAGGAAAAACAUAGAACAAAGAUCGCCGAUAUAAAAGUUCACUCUCCAAUGAAUUAAUUAAUCAAUUAAUUAAUUGUAUACACGUUGCACGUUGUAUUUCCGAGGUUCACUUUUGACUACUUCCAGUAAAAGUUUGUCCACGCGGCAAAUGUUUCAAGUCCUCAGUCCUAGGCUAAGAUCCGAUUUUUUACCUUCAUUUUGCACCGCUUGCUUAACAUUAACAUUCGAAUUAUAACUAGCGAUAUCCCCACACAACAGUAGAGUUCUUGGAAGGGCAGCUUAGGGCUCAUUAGCUCAAUUACUACUACUGAAUCAUUGCCCCGAUGCCAAAACUAAACAAAAUAUAGAUAAAUAAUAAAAAACACCAAAGAAAAUAAAUAAAAAAAAAAAAUACGAGAAAAAACAAAACCGAAAAACAAAAAAAAAAUAGAAAUGAGUACAAAGUAUGAAGUUAGUUUACUGAUGUGCAUUUCAGUAUCAGACGUUUAUCCAGUUCAUGAUGCCUAUAGAGGAAAUAUUUAGUUAGCUAAAAUAUUGGCAUGCUCGUGACCAUUUCAACUCGAUUCCAUUCGAUUCGCUUCUAAUGCCCACAACCUUCGCUUCGUCCUUCGAAAAAGGCUCCCAGCUGGCCGACCGCGAUCUCUGCCCAACAUGAUGUACUCCUACUUGUAUGGUUAGGUGCCAAGUGCAGGGAUCCGAUAUGAACAUCACUUUCCGGGGAAGAACAAUUCGGGCACCACGUCCCGCCAUUUACUACAAAAUUAAAACAAAAAUAUAUAUUGUUACACAAUGCUGCGAUCGAUUGUUCUUCCAGCUCCAGAUCCUUGCAUGGAGAUGCCAUGGAAAGCAUUGCCCGAUCCAGAUUCAGAUCCAGAUCCAGAGUCAUUAAUCUGGUUACCUAUGCAUGCAACCAUGAUGAAGUGCACACAAGGCUGCUGCCGAGCCAAUCCUCAAUUCGAACACUUGAAUUCAAAUCCAAAAAUUGAGGUGACCCAAACGGUCCGCUCCUGUGUUGUUAAACUUGACUCAUGUCGUAGGUGGCUUACUUCUGUCGAAAUGGCAAACAUUUUUAACCAUUGAACCCAAAACUUAACGAUUCGACUGCAUAUUUUGUUAUUUGUUUACUGUCUAGUGUGAGCGGUUACAUGAAACAAAAAAAAAAAAAUUAAGAAAACUAAAACAAAAAUAAGAACGGAAACAAGCAAAAAUAAAAAGGAAAUACAUAUAUGUAAGUAGAUCUGACUUUUUUUUACAAAGCAAAAGAGAAAUAUAAAAUAUAGGAUGUGAGAGGGGAUGCUACGCAAA